GACGAACCGUGCGAACGUUGUUCGGAUUCACUGGGCUUAAAGGGUGCGUAGGCGGAUUAGAAAGUCCGUUGUGAAAUCUCUGAGCUUAACUCGGAAAUUGCGGUGGAUACUAUUAGUCUUGAAUACUGUGGAGGUUAGCGGAAUAUGUCAUGUAGCGGUGAAAUGCAUAGAUAUGACAUAGAACACCAAUUGCGAAGGCAGCUGGCUACACAGAUAUUGACGCUGAGGCACGAAAGCGUGGGGAUCAAACAGG
rnacentral:rRNA from 1 species